rnacentral:rRNA from 1 species
GGGGAAUCUUGCGCAAUGGGCGAAAGCCUGACGCAGCAACGCCGCGUGCGGGAAGAAGGCCCUCGGGUUGUAAACCGCUUUCAGAAGGAACGAAACUGACGGUACUUUCAGAAGAAGGUGCGGCCAACUACGUGCCAGCAGCCGCGGUGACACGUAGGCACCAAGCGUUGUCCGGAUUUAUUGGGCGUAAAGAGCUCGUAGGCGGUUCGGUAAGUCGGGUGUGAAAACUUUGGGCUCAACCCAAAGCGUGCACUCGAUACUGCCGUGACUAGAGUUCGGUAGGGGAGUGGGGAAUUCCUAGUGUAGCGGUGAAAUGCGCAGAUAUUAGGAGGAACACCGGUGGCGAAGGCGCCACUCUGGGCCGAAACUGACGCUGAGGAGCGAAAGCGUGGGUAGCAAACAGGAUUAGAUACCCUGGUAGUCCACGCCGUAAACGUUGGGCACUAGGUGUGGGUCUCAACCAACGAGAUCCGCGCCGUCGCUAACGCAUUAAGUGCCCCGCCUGGGGAGUACGGCCGCAAGGUUA